AACGUAGGACGCAAGCGUUAUCCGGAGUUACUGGGCGUAAAGCGCGGGCAGGCGCCAACCAAGUCUGAUGUGAAAUCUCUUCGCUCAACGGAGAGAGGCCAUUGGAAACUGGUCGGCUGGAGGGCAAGUAGAGGUAGGCGGAAUUCCGGGUGGAGUGGUGAAAUGCGUAGAGAUCCGGAGGAACACCAGAGGCGAAGGCGGCCUACUGGGCGUGCACCUGACGCUGAGCCGCGAAAGCGUGGGGAGCAA
rnacentral:rRNA from 1 species